rnacentral:rRNA from 1 species
GAUGAAUGCUGGCGGCGUGCCUAAUACAUGCAAGUCGAGCGAACGGACGAGAAGCUUGCUUCUCUGAUGUUAGCGGCGGACGGGUGAGUAACACGUGGAUAACCUACCUAUAAGACUGGGAUAACUUCGGGAAACCGGAGCUAAUACCGGAUGAUAUUUUGAACCGCAUGGUUCAAAAGUGAAAGACGGUCUUGCCGUCACUUAUAGAUGGAUCCGCGCUGCAUUAGCUAGUUGGUAAGGUAACGGCUUACCAAGGAAACUAUGCAUAGCCGACCUGAGAGGGUGAUCGGCCACACGGGAACUGAGACACGGUCCAGACUCCUACGGGAGGCAGCAGUAGGGAAUCUUACGCAAUGGGCGAAAGCCUGACGGAGCAACGCCGCGUGAGUGAUGAAGGUGUUCGGAUCGUAAAACUCUGUUAUGAGGGAAGAACAGAUGUGUAAGGAACUGUGCAGAUCUUGACGGUACCUAAUCAGAAAGCCACGGCUAACUACGUG